rnacentral:lncRNA from 1 species
AUGACUUCAUUGUUGGAUGCUGCAAUCUUGAAGAUCAGACAGAAAACCAGCCUAUGAAUCAAAGAAGAAAAUCAAAAUCAGACUUCAUAACUGCUUCAGUAACCCUUGGCAACAGACAACACACUGGAUUUUGGCGAAUAACACUAAAAUUUUUGCUGGUGAGGUCUUCAGAAACUGGAUAGAUGUGAAACCACCAGAACAGAAGUGGAGCGGGCAUGGUAUCUGUUUCUUCAAUUUGUAGUUUUAUAGUCAAAAACUGGCAUGUAUAUACUUAAUUGGUAACAUGUAAGUCACGUGCCUCUAUCCCAACUCUAAGAGAGGUUGAGAACUUAAUUUCUGGCUUCUACCUUGGGAAGGAUCAGGCUUAUAAGCUGGAAAAUUAGCCAACAUACACAGGAUAUUCAAAGCUUCUAGGCAGUCAAAAUACUGUCAAGUGGUAAAACAGACAUGAAAAAACCUUUUUUUCUCUCCUAAAUUUAAAAAAAUAUAAUUUUUGUAAAACACUGUAUGUGGCUUUCCAUAAAAUUAAAAGAGUCUUGGGAGAGAGAACAUCUCAUAUGCUUCCUAGUGAAUUACUUCCACACUAAAGCAAUUAAUGAAAAUGAAAAUACCGUGUAUAAUAUUUUUAAAGCAGCCUUUUCACUGAUAAAUAUGUUUUAGGUAUAUAUACAGCUAUGGAAAAGUUUUCCUCAUAACAAUUCCAUUUUAUCUCAGGUAUAAUCGGUCAGGAGAAAUUAUUUCUUGUUGC